UUCCAGAGCUGCAACUUUCCUGGAGUCUCCAGAAUUACUCGGUGUCAGGUUCUAAGUGACUUAAGAUUCCAAAAAAUGAUUUAAUUAGAAUACCAUGAAGUAUUGUGAAAUAUUAUAUAUUAAGACUUUAUAUAUAGGCUUUAUGAACAGAUUAGAGUGACUCGUGAAGGACCAGCACCACCUCCUCUUGUCCGAUGGUUUGAGGAAUAUAUCUUCCAGAAUCUUGGAUUAAGAUUUAGGAGCUCAUUUUUAUUCCAUCUCCUUUCCUGAAAAGUUUGUCUUGCAGAAUUGACUAAAAAUUAAUCUUCACAUUAAUUCCUAAUUCUUUUGCAAUUCUUUUUGUCAGUUCUUCUCGACCUUUUUUCUCUUCCAGCUUUCCUGGACUAUUGUAUAUCACUCAUAAAUGAUUAAAUAAAAAAUAAUGGUAGUUAUUAAGAUUGAUAUGGUUUGGAAUUGGUAAAAUGUGCUUGGAAAAAAAAUCAUAAAACAAUGUUUUAAUGUUUAAGUUUGGAAUAUUAACUGACAUAAAUGAAUUCUAUAUAAAUAUUG